UACGUAGGGGGCAAGCGUUAUCCGGAUUUACUGGGUGUAAAGGGAGCGUAGGCGGAUUUUUAAGUCAGCGGUCAAAUCGUGGGGCUCAACCCCAUCCAGCCGUUGAAACUGGGGAUCUAGAGUGUGCGAGAGGUAUGCGGAAUGCGUGGUGUAGCGGUGAAAUGCUUAGAUAUCACGAAGAACUCCGAUUGCGAAGGCAGCUCACUGGACUGCAACUGACACUGAGGCUCGAAAGUGUGGGUAUCAAACAGG
rnacentral:rRNA from 1 species